rnacentral:lncRNA from 1 species
GCUCGGCUCCGAGCUCCCACGCUCCCGCCACCUUCGCCUCCACCGCCUACUUCUCCCGCGGCCGCUGGCACGCGCUCGGCUCCGAGCUCCGUGCACGCUUACCUACCUCUCGCCGGAUGCCGGCACGCGAAGAGCAAUGUAGGCAUCUCAGGAGAAAGGGACUGAGAGGCCUCGGAGGCAUCCACGUGAUAGAAAGAAAGAGAGGAAGAAAUGGGUGGGUGUUACUUUACUAUCGAGGCGCCGACGAGGAGAGGCUCCGGCGGCGGCCACCGGAAGUCAGUUAACACGGC